ACGCUCGACACCUACGGGAGGCAGCAGGUGGGGAAUAUUGCACAAUGGAGGAAACUCUGAUGCAGCGAUGCCGCGUGAGGGAAGAAGGUUUUCGGAUUGUAAACCUCUGUCUUUGGGGACGAUAAUGACGGUACCCAAGGAGGAAGCUCCGGCUAACUACGUGUCAGCAGCCGCGGUAAUCUGAGCGGGCUGGCAAGGC
rnacentral:rRNA from 1 species